AAAUAACACAAAUUUAUUUGGCUGGUCUUUUUCUUCCCAGCCCAAGAAAAUCAUUUUUAAGCUCUUCUGCAAAUGACUAGCUGCUCAAAUAAUGUCUUCCAUUUUUAAUAGUGCCUUUUUAAAAGAUAUGACCCAGACAUUUUGUUAGGCUAUGAAGUCCAGAUGCAUUCCUGGGGUUAUCUCUUACAGAGGGCUGCUGCAUUAAAUGUUGAUUUAUGCCAGAUGAUUUCUCGUGUGCCAGGUAAGUUACUAUAUAGGGCUUCAGUUGAGUUACACCAGAAAAAAAAAGUUGAAAUCUAUAAAUAAAGAAUGCAGAGUAAUUUUUCAAAAAGGCCUCUUUUAUGUUGUUGCUGUUGUGGUAUAGGUAUAAUUACAAAAAAAUAAAUACCAACAAGAUAGCAGUUUUCAAUAUCUGCUGAAUCUUGAAAUGUCUUGUGUAUUCCACUUCUGGGUAUGUUCCAUAUGCAUGACUCUGAACUCUUUUUGAAUAGUUGUGUGUUUUCUUGCUGGGAUCUCAUUUUGCAUAUUCUACCGCAUCCCGAAGUAGAAAGCCUGAAGUACAAAGGUGAUGAAACUUUUCAGCUCGUCACUGAAAACCAGUCUCUUUUUUUUCUGUUUAUUGUAUACUUUUUGGUGUUAGUUCUAAUUGUAAUUCCAUAACACAAACAAAUUACAGAAAGUUUUGGAUUCCUAGCGGUGUUCCUGCUACUGCUCUUCUCUAUGGCUUCAGUCAUACCUAUAUUCCUGCUAGCUGCCAUAACUAUUACAUGCAGCUUGAGUACAAUGACAUGAAAGAUGCUCCUGGUUUGUAAUAAAACCCUUGCUUUUAAUGGCCAUUCAUGUACUAUGAGAAAACAUUACUGUCCUACCUGCUGAUGUCUUCUUCCAGCAUUCAGAAAAAGAUCAGUUUGCAUUGUUUUCUUUCUUGAGAACCUGAGUAAAGUUAUCUAGGAGAAUGUUAUCUUUUUGUCUACACUUAGCCAAGUAAUGUGAACUGUCAUUCUGAAGAUUACAAUUAGUGAAUAGCUGAAAAAAUAAAUUGACCUGAGAAGAGUCAGUAGCUUUAUGAAGUGAAAAUUUUCUAAAAAAAAUUGUUGUAGCAUUUUGUGGUUGUCAAAAAAGAUGUGGAUUUUGAUAAUCAAAAACAACGGCAAAAGUUGCUUUUGACGGGGUUCUUGUUGAAGAUCUGUACUAAAUAGCCAUGAAAUAAGAAGUGCUUGCCUCUGAUUGUCUCAUUAAAAACUUUCACUCACUUCUUUCUUGAAGUUUGAGCAUUUAUGUGCUCCUUUUAUACUUUAAAAAUCUUUAUAUACUCUUGAUAACUGUGACUUGUUUAGAAAAUGUCUGAGUUAUAGAGACCACUCAAGGACAAGAAAAUAUAGGAAUAAAUUUACAUCUCCAGUUGAAAGUUGUUUGCAGCUGGACUUUUAAGUGCUUAGUUUAUGCGUAAAUUGGUCAUCCAAGGUCAUGAAUUUCCCACUUCAGCAUAAAGAUCUCAAAUUUGUUCUGCGGGAAUAACAGCUAAUUGCACAAACCUUGUUAUUGAAUUUCUUUGAUGGCUCCAGUUGAGGUGAUGCAGUGGUUGCAAUAAUAGUACUUUUGGAUAUAGCUUUAAGAUGUUUUGAAGGAUGUUCAGAAAACCUUUUGGCCCCUUACGCUUCAAGAUUAGCAGUAUCUUUUGUAAGAUUAAUGAUAAGUGUUGCACUCAAAGGUUUUUUAAAUUUCCAAAGAUCACAAGGGCUUCCUGCACUACUGUAGAAAUGGUGACUUAUCUGUCUCUUCAGAUCAGGGCAGUUUGGUAACUUCAAUUCAGUAACUAAUAUAUCUCCUGUUCUCAGACAGGAUCACAGCUCUUGUCUUGCAGGACAACUGUGCCUGCACUUCAGUUGUUGCAGAAUCAACAGUUACAUCAGCAAAGCUCUCUUUAGUACAUAGCUUCAUAGCAAGCUGUUGUUGAAAUUACUAAAAGUGGAAUACACAUGAAAAGUUCCUCAAAGAAGAAAGGUUACCUCCCUGGGAACUGUCUGGUUCUUGGUGAUAUCUCUGUGUAUUUCAGAAUCAAGCUUCCUUCCCUGGAGCUGUAGAGUCCUACAUAACUUGAGUUCAGUUACAGUGAAGGAAUAAGUCUUAAUUGUUGUAGUUGUAGGUCUUAAUAUCUUUGGACAUAGUUGUAGGUCUUAAUAUCUUUGGACAUUAAGAGAACUUCUGAAGCUAGGUUCUUUGAACCUGCAUGACAUAAGCAUGAUCUUCAGAGCACUCAUAUUCAUAGUAUUCAAGUUCUUGUGCCAGGUGUUAAAUUUGUACCCCAGAAGUGGAAUACAUAACACUUAACACUAGUUCUUAUAAAUACUUUAUUUUAAGGUAAGUGAUGUAAGUAAUUUAUUUUUUUUCAUUGAACUACAGGAGAAAGAUAAGGAAAUUUUCACGCUGAGCUCCUCCUAAAAUGUCAUGCCAUAAGUGUGGGCUUGCAUGCAUGACAAUAAAUGUACAAGAGUUAUGUUCUCUGUUGUGGCCUCCUUGUCCAUGGUUUUUACCCCUUCUGUGUUCCUGUUGCUUUUCCACCCCCUAUGCUUCAUAUUUCCAUCCCUUCUUCACAUACUUUCAGAACAGGAAGUGCUCCAUCAAGCAGCAUGCUGCUCUUUUUUCCUUUUGAAAUACAGAUGGAAGGUAUUUAUCCUUCCCUUUCCUGUGAUUUCAACUUAAAGAAAACUGGACUUUUCUCUGGUUUGGCUUUAUUGGCUGAGUCUGGUGCUGCCUCUGCCAUUUAGAAGUGAACUAUGCAUAAGUCAUUAGAACACACAAGAUAAGUGAGUACUGUGCCUGAGCUGAGUGGCAUUUUUUUUUCUGUGUGCACUGUGGACUCCUGUUUCCUUCUUUGCAUCACAACUCAACAGCAGGGAAUAGGGAACAGGAUGAGGGGAGACUUCUUUUUAUUUCAUCUCACACACUUGAAAGGUAGGAAAAAUGUCCAGUUCUCCUUCCAAAGAGGUUCAGAUAGUUCUGGUGGUGUAUUCCCCAUGCCAGUUGUAGAGCAUUGCAGGUUUUUGUAAUUCUGUAAUGCACCUUGUAUGCAAAUUCUCUUGCUUGAUGGGGGAGCGGGUCUCUUGUGACCACAGUAUCCUCAGUCACCUGUGUUUACUAGCAAGACAUGAAGGGAACUUGAGAUGCAUAGUGAAUCUCCUAAGGAAGUCAGAAGAGGAGAACCAGAGUAACGCUGGAGAAAGUAGGCAGUCUUGGAAAAAACGCUGAGGUAAUUUCUGCCUCCAAUUUAAAAUGUA